rnacentral:rRNA from 1 species
CUACGGGGCGCUGCAGUGAGGAAUUUUGCGCAAUGGGGGGAACCCUGACGCAGCAACGCCGCGUGAGUGAUGAAGGCUUUCGGGUCGUAAAGCUCUGUCAAGUGGGAAGAACCUAUGCAGUGUUAAUAUCACUGUAUACUGACGGUACCACUGAAGGAAGCACCGGCUAACUCCGUGCCAGCAGCCGCGGUAAUACGGGGGGUGCAAGCGUUAUUCGGAAUCAUUGGGCGUAAAGGGCACGUAGGCGGCUUGGUAAGUCAGAUGUGAAAGCCCGGGGCUUAACCCCGGAAGUGCAUUUGAUACGGUCAGGCUUGAGUAUGGGGGAGGGAAGUGGAAUGCCUGGUGUAGAGGUGAAAUUCGUAGAUAUCAGGAGGAACACCGGUGGCGAAGGCGACUUCCUGGACCAAUACUGACGCUGAGGUGCGAAGGCGUGGGUAGCAAACAGGAUUAGAUACCCCAGUAGUC